GUGCUAGUUUCAGCAGCACAUAUACUAAAAUUGGAAUGAUGCAGAGAAGAUUAGCAUGUCCCCUGCAUAAGGAUGACAUGCAAUUUCAUGAAGCGUUUCAUAUUUUA
ensembl:snRNA U6 U6 spliceosomal RNA